rnacentral:rRNA from 1 species
GACGAACGCUGGCGGCGUGCCUAAUACAUGCAAGUCGAACGCAGUGGGGACGGGUGAGUAACACGUGGGUAACCUCCAAUCAGAGGGGAUACCACUUGGAAACAGGUGCUAAACCGAUACUGAUGGAUGGACCCGCGGUGCAUUAGCUAGUUGGUGAGGAAACGGCUCACAAAGGCCAGGAUGCAUAGCCGACCUGAGAGGGUGAUCGUCCAAACUGGGACUGAGACACGGCCCAGACUACUACGGGAGGCAGCAGUAGUGAAGCUGAGGCAAUGGACGAAAGUCUGACCGAGCAACGCCGCGUGAGUGAAGAAGGUUUUCGGAUCGUAAAACUCUGUUGUUAGAGAAGCGUUAUUUAACCAGAAAGCCACGGCUAACUACGUGCCAGCAGCCGCGGUAAUAC